rnacentral:lncRNA from 1 species
UUUUAUCUCUUCCUCCUUUCUUCAGUUUAAGGUUUCAACACCCAUCAUCGCCGGCGGUUCACCGUGCCGAACGGAGAGGGGAGCGGCCACGGGGUAGAUCCGGUAAGACUCUUUUCUUCCUUGAUUCUUUUUCGUUUUAAAGUAGUUAAUGAAAAAAAAUAAAACAAAGCAAAGAUAACAGAAAGAUUGAGAUAACAGAGGAAAAAAAAUUGAAGUUUCACCUUCUAAGCUUUUCUUUUUUCUUUUGUUUUGAUACAAACUUUUUGUACAUCCUCCCCCCUUUUCGUUUGUUGUUUGGGUGGCUUUUAUAUGGCCUAAUUUUUACAUACUUUAUUAUUAUUUUCUAUUUCUUCUUGCUUCUGUUUUGCUUGUUUUCAGGGCAUGGGCAUGGACGGUGGGGUGUGUGAUGGUGCUAGUGCCAGAUAGCAUGGGAGAGUGGGAGUGGUGCUGGUGGCAGACAGCAUGGGAGAGUGGGAAGAGGCAAGUGGGAGUUUAGGGUUUUGGGAUUGGGCUUGGAUGUUGGGCUAGGUUAAUUUUAGGUUUUGGGUUUGAGGAUGGGUUAAAUGGUUUAAUGGGCCUGGGUAUUUUGUAAACGGGCCAAAAUUGGCCUACAACAGCUGCCCCUCUUUGCUUAUUGUCGUGUAACGGGAAUAGAGCAAAGAUACAAAGAAAGACCAAUUUUGCUCAGUCUCGCUAAGUUUUGACUUCUUUUGGUGAUCUUCUCAUCCAGGUAGUCUCUUUUUAGUCCUCCGUAUCUUGUAGCUUUGGUUCAAUCCAUUACCUCUUCUGAUAUAUGCUUUGUGGCUUCAAUCUACUUCAAUGUAACUUCAAGGAUAUAAGAUUUGUAACUUCGAUCUGCUUUACUGUGACUUCAGAAAUAUAAGAUUAACAGCUUCAAUUUGCUCUUCUGUUGCUUUAGUCAGAUAAGGCUUGUGGUUUUCUCUUCUGUAACUUUAGAAGGACAUCAUCUAAUAUCCUUGAUCAGCUCCACUGUAACUUCAAGGAAACAAAAUCUGGUGACUUCAAUCAGCCCUAAUCUUAUUCUUUACUCAAUAUGUGAUCCUGAGCUCAACUCAUUCAGCGUGUCCUGAGGGCUCAAUUCAUCUCUCGCAAUAUGAGUUGAUUUUUGAAACAUACAAAAAAUUGACAAUACCUAAGUAUGUCUUGAGGCUCAACUCGCCUCUCGCAAUACGAGUUGAUUUUUGAAAAGCAUAGAUUGAAAAAACAUAAAUUGAAAAUACCUCAGCAUGUGAGCCGAGGCUCAACUCACCUCUUGCAAUAUGAGUUGAUUUUUGAAAAACAAAAAUUAAAAGGCUUAACUCACCUCUCGCAAUAUGAGUCAAUUUAAAACAUAAACUAAAAAUACCUCGGCGUGCCCCGAGGCUCAACUCAUUUCUCGCAAUAUGAGUUGAUUUUUUUUAAAAAAAUUUAAAAAUACCUCAACGUGUCUUGAGGCUCAACUCAUUUCUCGCAAUAUGAGUUGAUUUUGAAAACAAAAAUUAAAAGGCUUAACUCACCUCUCGCAAUAUGAGUCAAUUUAAAACAUAAACUAAAAAUACCUCGGCGUGCCCCGAGGGCUCAACUCACUUCUCGCAAUAUGAGUUGAUUUUUUAAAAAUUUUAAAAAUACCUCAACGUGUCUUGAGGCUCAACUCAUUUCUCGCAAUAUGAGUUGAUUUUGAAAAACAAAAAUUAAAAGGCUUAACUCACCUCCCACAAUAUGAGUCAAUUUAAAACAUAAACUAAAAGUACCUCGGCGUGCCCGAGGCUCACUCACUUCUCGCAAAAAUUUAAAAAUACCUCAACGUGUCUUGAGGCUCAACUCAUUUCUCGCAAUAUGAGUUGAUUUUCCUUGGAAAGCAUGAAUAUUAAACAUCAAAAUACCAAAACCAGUUCUUUGGUAGAACUCGGAUAUCUUUUCCUUUGAUUCAGUGCGACUCUCAUUCAAGAUUUCUUGCUUUACUGGAUUACCUGUAUAUGCCAUGCAUGAUGUCAUCAUGAUAUGCACAUGUUUGUCUUAAAUGCCUUUAUGCCUACAUGAUUAUGCAGUGCUCCUUAAGCAUAUUGGUCGUAUGUCAUUUCGCCAUGAUUGUUGAGGAUCUGCGUUCAUUGCUUUGAUUCUCGACCUUCUCUUCAGGCCUCAUACCUGUCUUCGAGCUUUACGAGUAAUCGACAUUUCUCAGAUAUCACCCUUUUUGCCCUUGGUUAAACUUUGUUCUUGCUUUGAAGAUCUUGCACUUAUCAAAUUCUUAUCCGGGUAAUGCUUGACAUUUCUUUUGUUUAGAGUAUGUCAUUUCACUAUUUAUCAUUAAAUAAACACAUAAUGAGAUGCAUGAAAAUGGUCAGGUAGGGACACAAAGGAUAUCUCAUAUUCCUUUAUUUCAAGUGUGGCAAACAAAGAAAGUUAACCAAUGAGAGUAAAAAUGUCAAAAAGAAAGAAAAGGUCGUAUUCAACGGAUAUAAAUGCUCUAGAUAUUCAACACAUGAACUUUUCCACGUUCCUCAAUCAAUAAUCUUUUCGAGCAUGGCUUCUUGCGUAGAAAAUUUCGAGCUUUCAGAAGUGCUUCAAAUACUGUAGUCUCACUACUUGACCUAUCGUUCGACCGCCAGGUUUGUUUCAUUAGGAUGCCCUCUCGGGUUUUCAUCCUAAUCUUUUUGUACUAAUCAAGACGCCCUUUUCGGGUUUUUUGCCCUAAUCCUUUUUUUUAAGAUGCCAUUUUCGGGUUUCAUCUUAAGCAUAAUAUUCUUCACCGCAUCUGAAUUCACCAGAUUCGGUAACUCCUUCCCAUCCAUCUCGGUAAGGAUUAAAGCUCCUCCUGAGAAUGCCUUUUUUACAACGUAUGGUCCUUCCCAAUUUGGUGCCCAUUUUCCUCGCAGGUCUUUUUGUAUUGGGAGAAUCUUUCUCAGAACGAGUUCUCCUUCAUGGAACUCUCUUGGUCGUACCUUCUUGUCAUGGGCUGCGAUCAUUCUCUUUUGGUACAUUUGCCCAUGACAAAUUGCCCUUAGACGUUUUUCUUCAAUGAGGUUCAACUGAUCAUAUCGAGCUCGAACCCAUUCUGCUUCUUCUAACUUUGAUUCCAUCAAUACUCGCAGAGAGGGGAUCUCAACCUCGAUAGGUAGCACAGCUUCCAUUCCAUAGACUAGAGAGAAAGGAGUUGCUCCCGUAGAUGUUCGCACAGAUGUGCGAUAUGCAAACAAAGCAAAUGGAAGUUUCUCGUGCCAAUCUUUAUAUGUCUCAGUCAUUUUCCCAAUGAUCCUCUUAAUGUUCUUGUUAGCUGCUUCAACAGCCCCGUUCAUCUUUGGGAGAUAGGGCGAGGAAUUAUGAUGCUUUAUUUGGAACUGCUCGCACACUUCUUUCAUCAUCUUAUUGUUCAGAUUCGUGGCAUUAUCUGAGAUGAUUCUUUCAGGCAAACCAUAUCGGCAAAUGAUUUCCUUUUUCAAAAACUUGCACACUGCAGUCUUCGUCACAUUGGCAAACGAAGCGGCUUCAAUCCAUUUUGUGAAGUAAUCGAUAACCACUAAAAUGAAUCGAUGUCCAUUUGAAGCUUUUGGAGAAAUUGGCCCUAUGACAUCCAUGCCCCACAUAGAAAAAGGCCACGGAGAAGUCAUGACAUGAAGGGGUGAAGGGGCUACAUGAAUUUUAUCGCCGUAGAUUUGACAUUUGUGGCAUUUUCUGGCAAAAUUGAUGCAGUCACUUUCCAUUGUCAGCCAAUAAUAACCGAGUCUCAUGAUCUUUAUGGCCAUAUUGAAACCAUUGGCAUGCGUUCCGCAAAUUCCCUCAUGGACCUCUUCAAGUAUUUUUCUGGCUUCAACAUCAUCCACACAUCUCAAAAGCAUCUGAUCCUUUCCUCUUUUAUACAGGAUAUCCCCAUCAAGAACAAAUCCCGCUGCCAUUCUUCUAAUUGUUCUUUUAUCGUUCUCAUUCGUUUGUUCGGGAUACCUUUGAUUCUUGAUAUAUUCUAAGAUAUCAUGGAACCAAGGCCGUCCGUCUACUUCUUUCUCAAUGCUACAACAGUGUGCAGGGACCUCGUAUAUGCUCAUUUUGAGGGGCAUUAUUUCUGCUUCUCUACUUGCUUUGAACAUUGAAGCCAAAGUGGCUAGGGCAUCAGCCAAUUGGUUCUCUUCUCGUGGGAAGUAAUGAAACGUUAUUUCUUUGAAUUCCUUGAUCAAUCCAGCCACUAAAUCGCUGUACUUAAUCAAUUUUGAGUCCUUCACUUCCCAUUCUCCACGGAUUUGGUAAAUCACUAGGGCUGAGUCCCCAUACACCUCUAAGAUCUCGAUGUUUCGUUCGAUAGCUGCACGAAGCCCCAUGAUACAGGCCUCAUAUUCUGCGAUAUUAUUGGUACAGAAGAAGUUCAGUCUUGCAGUGAACGGAUAAUGAUUCUCGUCUGGUGAUACCAGGAUUGCUCCAAUUCCAUGCCCUAAAGCAUUUGACGCACCAUCAAAGCACAUCUUCCAUGACUUCUCUUUUGAUGACUCGGAUUCUAUUUUUGUGAUGCACAUUAAGUCUUCGUCUGGGAAAUCGAAUCUUAAAGGCUCAUAUUCCUCUGUCGUUCGAGUUGCUAAGAAGUCAGCUAUUGCGCUCCCUUUUAUUGACUUCUGACUUACAUAGGCAAUGUCAUAUUCCGAAAGGAGGAGCUGCCAUCGUGCCAUUCUUCCUGAUAGUGUCGGCGAUUCCAUCAUGUAUUUUAUUGGGUCCAGCUUUAAAAUUAGCCAUGUCGUGUGAUACAACAUAUAUUGUCUGAGUCUCCGAGCUACCCAAACCAGAGCGCAACAAUAUUUCUCAACGGACGAAUAUUUUGCCUCAUAUUCAGUGAACUUUUUGCUGAGGUAGUAGAUCGCCUUUUCUUUCUUUCCUGACUCGUCAUGUUGUCCCAGUACGCAACCCAUUGAACUUUCGAACACUGUCAGAUACAAAAUUAAUGGUCUUCCCGGAGUUGGCGGUACUAGCACUGGAGGACUGGACAAAUAUUGUUUUAUCUUAUCAAAGGUCACUUGGCAUUCCUCGUUCCAUUCUCCCGGGUUAUGUUUUCGAAGAAGCCGAAAGAUUGGGUCGCAUUGGUUGGUAAGUUGAGCGAUAAAUCGGGCGAUGUAAUUUAAUCUCCCUAAAAAUCCUCUAACUUCCUUUUGCGUGCGCGGAGGUGGUAAUUCUUGGAUGGCUUUUAUUUUAUCUGGAUCAACUUCGAUACCUCUUUCACUGACAAUGAAGCCUAGCAACUUUCCCGAGGUAGCCCCGAAUGUACAUUUGGCUGGAUUAAGCUUUAGCUGAAACUUUCUCAGCCUUUCGAACAACUUCUUGAGGUUCAUUACAUGCUCUUCUUCUCCUCGAGAUUUAGCAAUCAUAUCGUCGACGUAGACCUCUAUUUCUUUAUGCAUCAUGUCAUAGAAUAACGUCACCAUAGCCCUCUGAUAUGUUGCCCCAGCAUUCUUUAACCCAAAUGGCAUCACCUUGUAGCAGAACGUUCCCCACAUUGUUAUGAAAGUAGUUUUCUCCAUAUCCUCAGAAGCCAUCUUGAUCUGAUUAUACCCCGAGAAUCCAUCCAUGAAAGAAAAUAAUGAAUGUUUUGCUGUGUUUUCCACCAACGUGUCAAUAUGUGGCAAGGGAAAAUUAUCUUUUGGGCUUGCUCGAUUUAGGUCACGGUAAUCCACGCACAUUCGUACUUUUCCAUCUUUCUUUGGUACCGGGACUAUGUUAGCCACCCAUUCUGGAUAUUUGGAGGCUUGUAGGAAGCCAGCGUCAAAUUGCUUCUUGACUUCCUCUUUUAUUUUCAACAGCAUUUUGGGCCUCAUCCGUCUUAAUUUUUGCUGGAUGGGCUUGCAUUCUGGCUUUAAUGGGAGCUUAUGGACCACUAAAUCUUCAUCUAGCCCUGGCAUGUCCUGGUAUGACCACGCGAAAACAUCUUUGUAUUCGCGGAGUAAAGUGAUCAAACUACGCCUGGUACUUUCUGAAAUAGAAGUCCCAAUCUUCACUUCUUGUUUCCUCUCUUCAGUGCCAAAAUUUAUUGUUUCUACAGAUUCUUCAUGAGGCAGAACCUGUUUAUCCUCUUGUUCCACCAUUCUUAACAAUUCAGGAGACGAGACAUAAUCUUCAGCAUUUUCUUCGGCUUCAAAUUCUCCUAAGCAAACAGCCUUCUCAAAAUCAAUUUCAAGAUUCGUAACGGGCUUAUUCAUGUCGUCAAUAUCUGAGCACCUGAAAGUUGAAUGGAAAAGGAAGCUAUCGGGGGACAUCCAAGUAUUGGAAACAACAAACAAAAUGUUAUGUCAUGGCAAUGAGACAAAUGUAAGGAUAGGCUAUGAAAUGAGAAAAUGAUUAUGAAAUUAGUGAUAAUGCGAAAAAUCGUGACAAAAUGCAUCUUCAUUGAUAUUCAUUUAAAUGAUAAAGAGCGAAUGCAAAUUCUUACAAAAGAACUCUAUUAUAUCUAAGGACACAAUAGAAGGUUGAUGUUUAGCAUUACUCUGAAGGCUUAUAAACUACAAGAAGCUCCUCAGCAAUCCAAUUGUUCAACAUGAAACCAGGAGGGCAAGGGCGUAUCCUCGAGACAUCUUUACUUGCACCAGCUUCUUUGUCAAUGACAUUUAUACAAACAUUCUGAAAAUCCUUUUCAAUUAAUCCCAACAUGUUUCGUGGAUCCUCUUGUCCAGGGUACAUCAUUCCCGCAGAUGUAAAUGUUUUUGACAAAGGAAGGUACUCUAUUGGUUCCCAUUCUGGUUCUCGGUCCAAAGUUCUUGCAAUUCUUCUUUCUUGAUCCUUCUUCCACUGUCUUCUUCUUUGGCGCAUGUCAGGCUGGAACCCCAAACCGUAUCGGGCCUUGUGGUGCACUGGCUUUAAAGCCCUCACUAUUCCUUGCAUAUAUCUCCCUAAACCUCUUCUCGCACGAGCUCCCCUUCCUACGGUCAACUUGACACCCAUUCUGGUAUUUCUCGACAGUUUUGGCAUUGGAAUUCUAUUUCCCUCAGCGACGAAAGUGGCAUUGAUGAAUUCAAGGGAUCGAAAGGAACAUUCCACUGCAUCCUUGCUUACUUCCAGGUAUGGCGCAUCAGCAGAGAUAGAUGCAAUGAUGUCUUCUUCGCCCUCGACUGUGACCAAACAACCAUCCAUGAUGAAUUUCACUUUUUGAUGGAGGGAUGAUGGGACUGCUCUAGCAGAAUGAAUCCAAGGUCUUCCCAAAAGGCAGUUAUAAGAGGGUGUAAUGUCCAUGACUUGGAAUUCGACCUCAUAUAUAUAGGGGCCCACUUCCAAAGGGAUUUCGAUCUUUCCCAUGACUUCACGCCUCGUCCCGUCGAAGGCCCUUACCAUGGAAUGAUAGGGCUUUAAGUAGGACAAAUCUAUCGGUAUUCUGGAAAGUGUAGCCAAUGGCAUAACAUUUAAUGCUGACCCAUUAUCGAUGAGUACGUUCGGUAUUAUGUAGCCCUUACAGCGGGUCGUGAUAUGCAGCGCUUUCACCGAACCUCUACCAUUUAGCGGUAUCUCAUCAUCACUAAAAGAGAUGAAGUUGUCCGCAUUCAGAUUGUUUACCCACCUAUCAAGCUUUUCGACAGAUAUGUUGUUGGCCACGUAAGCUUGAUUUAACACCUUCAAUAAAGCGUUCCGGUGUGGCUUUGAAUUUAACAGUAGAGAUAGAACUGAGAUUCGUGCUGGCUGCUUGCUCAGUUGUUCCACCACACUAUAUUCGCUGUGCUUAAUAAAUUUCAAGAAUUCUUGAGCUUCUUCCUCAUUCACAGGCUUUUUAGUUUCUUGCACGGGUGGAAUUUCUUGCUCGACUUCGACCUCGUGCAUCACUGCUUUCCCUUUUUGCUUCGAGUCACUACUUUUCUUUACCGGUUCAACUUCUUUAGAAUAGCAUCGUCCACUUCGAGUAAAAUGACCAACCUCCCCAACAUCUUCAAUUAUGGCUUUGGACUUUUCAACUUUCGGUGUAACGAUAUUAACAUCAUAUCUCCACGGUACUAUUUUGUUGUCCUUAUACGGGAAAGGAGAUGGUACUUCAAUUACCAUUUGUGGUUUCAAUGGCUCUCUCAUCGCGUCGUAAUAAAUUACCAACGGUCGAUUAGCACUAUAAGGGGGCCCUGAUGAUUGGCUAUCAGAGACGCAUACUUCUCUUUCGUUGGCAUCUUCACUCUUGUUAAGGACCUUGAUCUCUUUAUUAUUCAUCCGGUCUUGAAGUAACCUUUUAAAGUCCUCGCACGACUGAAUGUCGUGCCCAACAAUCCCAUGAAAAUUGCAAAAACUUUGACCUUCUUCUCCAAAAACUCUAUCAGAGUGACAGAGCAAUCCUUUCUUAACUAAUACCUCCCAGAUUUUCUGCAGAGGCGUCCUUAUUUCUGCCACACAUCUUCUGACCUUCCAUUCAUCCUCUUUCCCCACUGUGCUCACAUUCUCUUCGGUAUGGUUAGGGAACGGGUUCCUCGUGGCGUUACUAGCACUAUCGAAUCGUAGGAUACCCGCGUCAAUGAGUCCUUGAACUCUCCUUUUGAAAGUGAGACAGUUCUCAAUAGAGUGCCCUUGGUUCCCUGCGUGGUAUGCACAACUAGCGUUUGGAUCGUACCACUUUGGGUAUGGAGGUUUAAGGGGUGCCAUGUAAUGGGGAGAAAUUAGCUGUUUUUCUAAAAGUUUUGGGUACAAUUCCCCAUACAACACAGGGAUGGGGGUAAAUUACGAUCUCUCGGGAUUAGGCCUUGAUGGUCUUGGUUCAUUUCUGGGUUGGCUUUGGGCGGGUACCGUGUUUUGUGGGAAAGUGGUGACGGGUCUUUGGUUGUUCGUGGCGUAUACGGGGCAGGACGGAUGUGGUGCUUGGUAAUAAGGGGUUUGAGGGGGAUAAUGGAAAUUCGAGGGUGGAUAAUCUCGAGGUCGGGGUUGAUUGGGAUACGAAUUGGGAAUGUAACGACUCCCAGUUCCCACCAUGAGGGCUUCUGGCUCUUUCUUCCUUAAGGGUGCUGCUUUUCUUGAGCCUUCUAAUCCUUCCAUUCUACCGCUCUUGACGGCAUUCUCUAUGAGUUCACCGGAUAUUACAAUAUUCGCGAAAUCUUUCGUGGCAUUUCCCACUAAUUUGUCAUAAAACGGUGCCUUUAAAGUAUUGAUAAAGAGAACGGUUAUCUCCGUUUUUGUUAGUGGGGGUUCCACUUGAGUUGAGACGUCUCUCCAUCUCUGCGCAUACUGUCUAAAGGUCUCUGAUGGCUUUUUCUCCAUCAUUUGCAAGGUCAUACUGUCUGGCACUAUAUCCGAUACAUGCUUGUACUGCUCGCAAAAUGCUGACGCCAAGUCCUUCCAGGAUCGAAUCUUUUCUCUACUAAGUUGAUUGUACCACCGAAGAGCUGACCCCGUUAGACUAUCUUGAAAGCAAUGUAUGAGUAGUUUAUCCUUGUUCACAUAACCGGUCAUCUUUCGACAGAACAUAAUGAGAUGUGCUUUUGGGCACCUUGUCCCGUCAUACUUCUCAAAGUCAGGCACUUUGAACUUCGGAGGCAAAAUUAGAUCAGGUACCAAACUGAGUUCUUUGGCACCUAGUGCGGAGAAGACUUCAGUGCCUUCUAUUGCUUUGAGUCUUUCCUCUAGACUCCUAUAUUUUGCGUCAUGGUUAUCCAAUUUCAACUUGGCUACCUCUGCUGGGUCAUCCAGAUCUGGAACUAGUGGAUUAGCAGGACUAGCCUCUAAGUUCAACGCUAACAUUCCUUGCCUCAAAUUAGUGGGUGGAGCAGGUGGCAUAGGUCGAUGUUCCAAGCCAGUGGGUUCCUCUUGAGUAUACCCUCUUUGUAUUGUAUAUGCGGGCGGUAGAGUGAAUUCUGGGGGAUAGAAUGGAUCUUGAUCAUGGUGAAUUCUUGACCGAGGUUCCAUAACAUCGGAGUUCUACAUGGGUCCCUUUCCUUUGACCAAAGUUGUCAUCAUCUCCAUCAUUUUAGCCAUCUGAUCUCUUUGCUCGAGCGAUUCCUCUCGAGAUCUCACCAUUAGGUCUCUCGUCUCUUGUUGCGAUUUGGCCAGUUGCUCUUGUAAUUCCUUUUGAGCCCUUUCCAUCCUUUCAAUUCUCUCAUUGAAUUCAUUCUCCAUUACUCUAGCUUGUCGGCGCGUUUUAUACGGAUGACGUGGUUCCAGUCUUGAAGUCUGGCAACUGCGAAUUGUACGCUUUAAUAUCAGCGAACGAGUAUGGGAUAUGUAAUGAAUGAAUUGAUGCAUGAAUGAAUGCAUGAAUGUCAAAUGAAUGUAAGUUAUGAAUGAAAUGCAAGAAAUUGGUGUUGAUUUCAAGAUAGCCCCAUAUUUAGGCAUUUCAUUUAUCAAUAUAGUCUAUUACACAAAGUUCUCAUUUUUCCAACAGUUACAUAAAUUUCCUAGCCACAUUGCCUUGUUUCUUCACUUGCUCUAAAAACUCUGAUAUGCUCGAUCUUUGGCUCGGAAGGAAUUGGCAACUGAGAACUUCGGCUUCAUCUGAUAAUUGAACAACUUGUAUAGCCGCUUUACGAAUUUCAUUGAUCAAGAAGUCAAGUUGUAUUUCUUUUUCUUUGAGAGUUCAUUCAUACUCGUGAAUGUCCCUAUCGUAUUGCUCACUCUUUUCUUCUAGAGCCUUCAAGAGGUUAUCUAAUUGUUGUUGACGAGAUUGCAGCAUAUUUUCUAGAUCUCGCAUUUUCCUUUUUAAUUCUUGAUGUUCAGACUGACUAUUUGCCAAUUUUGCAGUCACUAUUUCAUACUUGGCGUUCUUCCUUCUUAACUCUAUCACAGCACGCGCAGCCUUUUCCUCUUCUUUCUUUGCUUUUCCCUUCCAAAACUCCAUUCCUCCCCUGAUAUUGCUAAUUUCUUCCUUCCAUUCUACUGUCGACUUGCCCAACCCGCUAUUCUUUAUAGUGUUUCUUAAUUUCUUAUUUUCCAAAUGAAGGUCCCUUAAGUCGUUUCUCACAAUCUCGGCUUCUCUUUGUACUUUUUCAGUCCUGGACCUUUCAACCUGAACUUCAAUCUUCAGUUGAUAGUUUUCUUCUUGAAGGGCACUAAGGUCCCGAGACAUCUUGGCCUUUUCUCGUUCGAAUUCUUGUCUUGCCAUUUCUAGCUCAGACGGCGUUUCCUUCGAGAAAGGAUUCUGGAUGGUGUAGUUUGUUGAUGAGAUUUGCUGACUAUUUACCCGUUGCUUCCUCCAUAUGUCGUAAUCUUGGGUAAGGGUAUCAACAUACAAAGCUAAUUCCAUGAAAUGAAUUUCCUUCCAAUACUUUGCAGUGUCUCGGACUCUCUUCAUAUAUCCUUCACCCGCGAAAGCGAACUCGAACUGUGCUAAUCCUCCAGUUGUGGGGAGGAAUUGUCGCGAAGAAAAUUGCCUUUGGACUAAUAGCGGAGCAUAUCCAACUCCUCCCCAUAACCCGAGUAAAGGUACCCAAUCUUGGCUUCCACAUUUGUAUAGCAGAACUGAAGGACGGAUCCAGGGUGCUCUCCAUGUUAUAUUCUCGGCGCGAAGAUUCUGAAAAACUGAUACCCAAUGUUGCUCGGUGACUUUCUUCGGCCAUUCUUUAUUGAGGUAAGCUUCUAGCGGGGAGAAUGUUUUAGAAAACAUAUGGAACAGAGUGCGCUCUACCUUCCAGAAGUGACUCAAAAUCCAAACAUUGAGCAACUGCGCGCAUCCGAUAAAUCGUCCCUCCCCUUUUCUUCGACAACUACUCAGGGACCUGAAGGUCUCGGCUAGGAUGGUCGGGACAGGGUUGAUUCCUUGUUUUAACCUUUCGAAGAAAUCAACUACUGCAACUUCGAGAUGUCUGAGAACUUUUGGGAAAAUGACCAAGCCGUAAAUGGCCAAAGCGAAUAGAUUUACCCUUUUCAGCAUGUUGGGAUGGUUCAGAGCCAAAUCUCGUAGGGAGGACCAUGGAAUGCAAAUGGUUUCAUUCUUCUUCUUUAUCUGUUUUUCGGCCCAUGCAUCAGUCAUGUCUGUCAGUCUCACUAACUUUUUCUUGAAGGUCAUCGGCUUAGGCUCCUUCACAUAUAUUUUGCCGAAUUGUACAUUGUCGAUGCGGAGUAAAGCAGCAUACUCUUCUAUGGUUGGAGUCAUGUCUUCUUGAUUGAAGGUGAAACACUGAUAAGCUGGGUCCCAGAACUGAACCAUGGCUUGAAUCAACUGUUCGUCUACACGGAUGGUGAUCAGGUGAGCUAUAUCUCCAUACCUCUCAGUGAAAAUGUCUCUAGUGUCUGAAUCCCACUGAUUCCAAAUUCGAACCAAAUCCUCAAAGUUAUUUUGGCGAACAUUUACAGUUAUAUGUUCGGGCAAAUUAGCGACACACCCUUCCACUAGACUAUCCCCCUUUUCUCUCUGAAUUUUUAGAGACCAGUCCCGAACCACGGCAUUCUUCUCGGUUAUUUGUGUAAUUGACUCCUCCAUCAGAAACCCGUUUUUUUGGCAACCAACUUUUAAUCAACACCUUCCUAAUAUGAUGCCUAUGAUGCAUGAUGAAAAUAAAAGUAAAAACAAACAAACUUAGUUAGUAAACACAACAAAUAUAAUUUGAAAAACAAAUUAAACUACCCAAUCCAAUUAUUUUGCAUAAACAGUGUAAAUGAAAGGCAAAAGGCAUUUUCCCCGUGUACUUAUUUUGAUGACUAUAAGCGGACAGAGGUUCGGCAUGGCUCUAAUUGGAUAGCUCGUAUGGUUCACUAUAUGCGGUUUUGGUUCUAGGUGGGUACUCGAAUCGUCUGCACUGUCAUCUACUAAGAUUAGUACAGAGCCUCGGUCAUGGCCCAUCAUAGGCUUACGAGAUCAAUUCGAGGGAUUACAUUUACUUAUGCCUAUGCGGAGGGACAAGUUAACUCACGAAAGCAUAAGUCAUAUGUAACCCGAAAGUAUUCACUAGCCUGUGCGGAGGAACGAGUUAACUCACGAAGGCGUAGCGUUUACUUUCUCUUAACAAGGACGGAGCCCGGGUAUAGAGCUCAUGUUGUGCAAAAAAUGCAAGUGCACGGUGUGUGGGGAGAAACUUGUAAACCUUUACGUUUUAUUUAGAAAAAUAAAACCGCAAAAAUUUAAAGCUGAAAAACAACCUGAUAAAACAAGUUAGAAUAUAUACAACACGAUGCAAAUGCAUGAUUUUUUUUUUGAAAACAAAAAAUUUAAGGAUCACGACUAAAUGUUAAUUUGAACAAGAAACUUUGAAAAUUUUGACAACGCGAGUUUAAUUCGACUCGACUCUCAAAAAGGGUCCCCAGCGGAGUCGCCAGCUGUAGCGACCUAAAAAUUGGGCACGGGCGCUAGUCGAAGUAAUUAUUGAAAAUUUGAAAACUAAAUCUCGAUUUUAUUUGAAAAAGGAGUCGCCACCGAUUUUUUUUCUAGGUGUGAUCGGACACCUAAUAAAUUCUCUUUUUAGAAGAAAAUUUUAAUUUUAAAUUUUCUAAAAAAAAGGUAAUUUUAGGUCUACGUAAGAAUCCAGAUAAAAUUCGAGUUCGGGAGUCGGUUACGCGCGAGGAAGGUAUUAGCACCCUCGCGACGCCCAAAAUUGGUAUCUUGUUAAACAUGUGCUGUCUUAAUUUUCAAAAAUGCUAGUUCAAUUUAAAUUCCAAUCGUGAUCCAAUUUAAAAGACGAGAACUUUUAAUUUUUGAUUUUUGAGAAGGAUAUACCGUUUUAACAAGAGCCGACAAAUUCCAUCCAACAUAGCGAUGAAAUUUACGACUUAACAUUAAAUCAGUGUAUUGCCUCGAUUAGUAAUUAAAACAUAAAAAAUAUUCAUGAAAUAAGAAUUUGAAAUAAAUCAAAUAUGCAAACAGUGACAUUUUCAAAUGAAAAAUAUUAACAUAAUACUAGAGCAGUAGCAAAACAAUAAUAAUAUUUAAAAGGGAAAUAAAAACCAAACAUAAACAAAUAUAAAGUACAUUUAGUAAUAAUAAUAUAAGGUAAUAUAUACAUAAGAUAAUAUGCAAAAAUAUAAUAUAUGACAUAUAUACAUGAUGUAUGAAAAUAUAAUGCCUAAUAGACAUAUAUAUGCAAUAUUACUAAAUAUAUACAUACUAGAUACAAAUACACAUAGUGUAAUUGAACAUAUACAAUAAUAUUAGGAAUACUAUGGACAAGGAAAAUACAUUUAUACUAAUAAUAGUAAAAGAUAUAUAUACACCAAAUAAUAAUAUAAUAAGUAGCAAUAGGGAAAAUAAUAAAUACAAAAUCAAUAAUGCAACAUACACAAAUAAUACAAAUAAGAAAGGUAUAUACAUACGGAUUAUAAAAUAAAUGUAUUAAAAUUAAUAAUAAAUACAAUAUGGGUAAAAAUAAAUAUAUACAUGAUAUAUACAUAAUGUGGUACUAAGAAAAUAUAUAUAUAAAUAAUAGUAUUAGAAAUCAUAUAGUAUAGAGAUAUAUAACUGAUAAUAUUAAAAUAUAUACAUAAUAUUAUAUAUAAAUUAUUCAUAUAAUAUAUAUUAAAAAAAUUGACUAUUAAUACGUAUUAAAAAUAUAUACGGGGGUAAGCGGCAUUCACUAAUAAAUAUAAUAAUAACCAUGUAAUACAAUACCAAAAGGUAAAUAUAAUAAAAUGAUAUUAAAAUAAAGGUAUUAAAAACAAUAAUAUAUAUAUGUAUACAUCUAACAAGGAUAUAUAAUAAUAAUAAUAAUAUUGAAACACAAAAGCCAUUAUAAUAAAAAUAUUAAAAUAAAGUAAUAGAAACAUUACUACAUAUAUAUACAUACAUGAAGAUAUACACUAAUGUGCAAUAAUAAUAAUAAUAAUAAUAAUAAAUAAUAAUAAUAUUAAUAAUAUGAAAAUAACAAGGAUAUUUAGAUAAAAAAACGAAAAACAAAACGAAAACAGGUCUAAAAUUAAACUAAAAACAAAGUUUAAAAAGAAAAUAAGGAGGGGAGGACCAGAUUGCAAUAUGCGCGCAACAUGGGAGGACCGAAAACAGAAAUAUCCCCAAUCAUUAAGACGCAGUGCUUGGUACGGGGCUAAAUUGAAAACCUCAGAGAAUUAGGUGGCCAAAUUGCAAAAUCAUAGGAAAAAGGUAACUAAAGCACUAAAUUGCAAAGCACUGGAGAGGUUGAGGGACCAGGGGGACAAAUAUCCCUAAAAGCAGAAACAUACAAAUCAUAGUUAGUGGCGCCGUUUCCUUUUGACUUUUCAAUUUUUUAUUUUAAAACCAUUUAACCUUUAUAUAUUUUUUUCUGAAAAACUGCUCCCAAACCCCCCUUUUUAUCUCUUCCUCCUUUCUUCAGUUAAGGUUUCAACACCCAUCAUCGCCGGCGGUUCACCGUGCCGAACGGAGAGGGGAGCUGCCACGGGGUAGAUCCGGUAAGACUCUUUUCUUCCUUGAUUCUUUUUCGUUUUAAAGUAAGUUAAUGAAAAAAAAAAUAAAACAAAGCAAAGAUAAACAGAAAGAUUGAGAUAACAGAGGAAAAAAAAUUGAAGUUUCACCUUCUAAGCUUUUCUUUUUUCUUUUGUUUUUGAUACAAACUUUUUGUACAUCCUCCCCCCUUUUCGUUUGUUGUUUGGGUGGCUUUUAUAUGGCCUAAUUUUUACAUACUUUAUUAUUAUUUUCUAUUCUUGCUUCUGUUUUGCUUGUUUUCAGGGCAUGGGCAUGGACGGUGGGGUGUGUGAUGGUGCUGGUGGCAGACAGCAUGGGAGAGUGGGAGUGGUGCUGGUGGCAGACAGCAUGGGAGAGUGGGAAGAGGCAAGUGGGAGUUUAGGGUUUUGGGAUUGGGCUUGGAUGUUGGGCUAGGUUAAUUUUAGGUUUUGGGUUUGAGGAUGGGUUAAAUGGUUUAAUGGGCCUGGGUAUUUUGUAAACGGGCCAAAAUUGGCCUACAACAGU